rnacentral:sRNA from 1 species
CAGUUAUUCGCGUAGGAAAGAUUCAGUAAAGCAUUUCAUGAAUAAGACGUACCUCCGCAGUUAGUAGUGACCGUCCUGUUUUUGAUUCCGCGAGUUCUGUAUUUCCGUGAACGCCAGCCUACGCCACGAGGUGUACGGCGGCAGAUUAAAUGAUUGAUUUCAGGAAGUUUAAGUAUGUCUACUACUACCGGUACUGUUAAGUUCUUCAACGAAGCUAAAGGCUUUGGCUUUAUUACUCGUGAAGGCGGCCCGGACGUAUUCGUUCACUACAGCGCAAUUCAGGGCAGCGGUUUCAAGACCCUGGCAGAAGGCCAGCAGGUUGAGUUCACCGUUACCCAGGGCCAGAAAGGUCCUCAGGCGGAGAAUGUUACUGCUCUGUAAUCCUUUAAGGAUCAGGCAUUAACAGAAAAAAGGCAGCUCAGGCUGCCUUUUUUUGU